rnacentral:rRNA from 1 species
AUUGAACGCUGGCGGCAUGCCUUACACAUGCAAGUCGAACGGUAACAGGUCUUCGGAUGCUGACGAGUGGCGAACGGGUGAGUAAUGCAUCGGAACGUGCCCAGUAGUGGGGGAUAGCCCGGCGAAAGCCGGAUUAAUACCGCAUACGACCUGAGGGUGAAAGGGGGGGAUCGCAAGACCUCUCGCUAUUGGAGCGGCCGAUGUCAGAUUAGCUAGUUGGUGGGGUAAAGGCCUACCAAGGCAACGAUCUGUAGUCGGUCUGAGAGGACGACCAGCCACACUGGGACUGAGACGCGGCCCAGACUCCGACGGGAGGCAGCAGUGGGGAAUUUUGGACAAUGGGCGCAAGCCUGAUCCAGCAAUGCCGCGUGCAGGAAGAAGGCCUUCGGGUUGUAAACUGCUUUUGUCAGGGAAGAAAUCUUCUGGGUUAAUACCUCGGGAGGAUGACGGUACCUGAAGAAUAAGCACCUACUAACUACGUGCCAGCCGCCGCCGUAA